ACUACUUACGGGACGCAGCAGUGGGGAAUAUUGCACAAUGGGGGAAACCCUGAUGCAGCGACGCCGCGUGAGUGAAGAAGUAUUUCGGGUUGUAAACUUCUUUUAAGAGGGAAGAGCAGAAGACGGUACCUCUUGAAUAAGCCACGGCUAACUACGUGCCAGCAGCCGCGGUAAUACGUAGGUGGCAAGCGUUGUCCGGAUUUACUGGGUGUAAAGGGCGUGUAGCCGGGCUGACAAGUCAGAUGUGAAAUUCCGGGGCUCAACCCCGGACCUGCAUUUGAAACUGUUGGUCUUGAGUAUCGGAG
rnacentral:rRNA from 1 species